UUCCCCACCCGAUCCCAUUCCGAACUCGGUCGUUAAGUCCCCCUGGGCCAAUGGUACUUCGUCUCAAGGCGCGGGAGAGUAGGUCGCCGCCAGGU
rnacentral:rRNA from 1 species